rnacentral:rRNA from 1 species
AACGAACGCUGGCGGCAGGCCUAACACAUGCAAGUCGAGCGAGGACUUCGGUCCUAGCGGCGGACGGGUGAGUAACGCGUGGGAACGUGCCCUUUGCUUCGGAAUAGCCCUGGGAAACUGGGAGUAAUACCGGAUGAGCCCUUUGGGGGAAAGAUUUAUCGGCGAAGGAUCGGCCCGCGUUGGAUUAGGUAGUUGGUGGGGUAAUGGCCUACCAAGCCGACGAUCCAUAGCUGGUUUGAGAGGAUGAUCAGCCACACUGGGACUGAGACACGGCCCAGACUCCUACGGGAGGCAGCAGUGGGGAAUCAUAGACAAUGGGGGAAACCCUGAUCUAGCCAUGCCGCGUGAGCGAUGAAGGCCUUAGGGUUGUAAAGCUCUUUCAGCUGGGAAGAUAAUGACGGUACCAGCAGAAGAAGCCCCGGCUAACUCCGU